CAUACAUACUUCUGGAUAGCAUUCAUUCCAUUCAUUGUGAGUUACCUCUUCUGUUCCCCCUAAAUUUAUUGCGCAUGUCUAUCUUCAUGGUAGCCAUUUAUGUAAAAGCGAAUAUAUAGCCGUGAUUAAUGAACUAAAAAUGGAAAAUAUGAAGCAGGAGGAGUUUUCAAACUAGAGUUGUUUUUGCCUGAAGAAUAUCCUAUGGCUGCUCCUUAGGUUAGGUUUCUCACAAAAAUAUACCAUCCCAAUAUUGAAAAGCUUGGUAGGAUAUGCCUCGACAUCUUGAAAGACAAGUGGAGUCCUGCACU